UACGUAGGGUGCAAGCGUUGUCCGGAAUUAUUGGGCGUAAAGGGCUCGUAGGCGGUCCAUCACGUCGGGAGUGAAAAGCUGGGGCUUAACCCCAGUCCUGCUUCCGAUACGGGUGGACUAGAGGUAGGUAGGGGAGAACGGAAUUCCUGGUGUAGCGGUGAAAUGCGCAGAUAUCAGGAGGAACACCGGUGGCGAAGGCGGUUCUCUGGGCCUUACCUGACGCUGAGGAGCGAAAGUGUGGGGAGCGAACAGG
rnacentral:rRNA from 1 species